AGCAGCCGCGGUAAUUCCAGCUCCAAUAGCGUAUAUUAAAGUUGUUGCAGUUAAAAAGCUCGUAGUUGAAUUUCGGGAUUGACGUGACGGUCGUGCCUUAAGGGGCGUGAACUGUCGCCGUUGAUUUCUCACCUUCUGGAGAAGCUCGAUGUCCUUAAUUGGAUGUCUUGUGGAACCAGGACCUUUACCUUGAAAAAUUAGAGUGUUUAAAGCAGGCAUUUUGCUCGAAUACAUUAGCAUGGAAUAAUAGAAUAGGACGGCAUGGUUCUAUUUUGUUGGUUUCUAGGAUCACCGUAAUGAUUAAUAGGGAUAGUUGGGGGCAUUAGUAUUCAAUUGUCAGAGGUGAAAUUCUUGGAUUUAUUGAAGACUAACUACUGCGAAAGCAUUUGCCAAGGAUGUUUUCAUUAAUCAAGAACAAAAGUUAGGGGAUCGAAGACGAUCAGAUACCGUCGUAGUCUUAACCAUAAACUAUGCC
rnacentral:rRNA from 1 species